rnacentral:rRNA from 1 species
GAUUAGAUACCGUCGUAGUCUUAACUAUAAACUAUGCCGACCAGGGAUAUGAGUUGUUAUGAAUGGAUUUUAUCUAUUCAAUUUCCUCCUGUGGACCUUGUGAGAAAUCAUAAGUUUUUGGGUUCUGGGGGGAGUAUGGUCGCAAGGCUGAAACUUAAAGGAAUUGACGGAGGGGCACCACCAGGAGUGGAGCGUGCGGCUUAAUUUGACUCAACACGGGAAAACUUACCAGGUCCAGACAUUAGAAGGAUUGACAGAUUGAUAGCUCUUUCAUGAUUUAAUGGGUGGUGGUGCAUGGCCGUUCUUAGUUGGUGGAGUGAUUUGUCUGGUUAAUUCCGAUAACGAACGAGACCUUUACCAUACUAAAUAGUUUGAUUUAUUCAUUUAUGAAUAGAUUUACAUUUUAUAAACUUCUUAGAGGGACUAUUGGUUCUUAAACCAAAGGAAGUAAAGGCGAUAACAGGUCUGUGAUGCCCUUAGAUGUUCUGGGCUGCACGCGCGCUACAAUGAUAAACUCAACGAGUAUUUAAUAUUUAUUUAUUAUAUUGCUGUAUCGGAAGGUAUGGCUAAUCUUAAACGUUUAUCGUGCUUGGGAUAGAUGAUUGCAAUUAUUUAUCUUGAACCAGGAAUUCCUAGUAAUCGUAUAUCAUCAGUGUGCGAUGAUUACGUCCCUGCCCCUUGUACACACCGCCCGUCGCUGCUACCGAUUGGAUGAUCCGGUGAAAUCCUCGGAUAAUGAUAAAUACUUUACUUUGUAAAGUUUAUCGUUAGAAGUUGAUUAAACCUUAUCAUCUAGAGGAAGCAAAAGUCGUAACAAGGUUUCCGUAGGUGAACCUGCAGAAGGAUCA